GGCCUGCCUCGCGGCUGGGUAGUCGCCGCAGAGGGACAGACAGACCCACAGCCUCCCUCGCUCUUUUUGGGUGUCUCCGCCACCGAAAGAGCUUGGGGGCGGGGGGCUCUCUGGAGGGCACAUCUCAGCCCCCUGCCUUGGUGAGGACCCAGCAACUUAGGAUUGUUGAGAGGAGUGAAGACUGCGUAUUCCCAGCGGAGGGCGCCGCCGGAGGGAGCACCCCAGUAAUGUUGGGAGUCCUAGAGGAGGAGAAGACAGACUGCUGCUUUGGAACUAUUGGUAAUGAUGGCCUGAGCUAAACAUCUAACUAGAAGGGAUACCCUUCCAUUUCAAAGAACAGAAUGCUAAGGAAGCUGUGGCAAGUGAUUGGAGUUGUGCUUCAAAAAUUUCAGAAAUUCAGCAGUAUUUUAUCUGCCAACAAUAAGCUCUUUACUUGAUUGCACCAUGAGAAAGCUGCUAAUGAGACUUGUUGAGCACAAAAAUGGACUUGAAGAACCAAAAGCCAUUGUUUUCAAAUGAAGAACACUGAACAGUUUUAAGCCUCGAUGCUUUUUAAUCACCACUGAGCUUUUCCUCAUAACAUCAGAAUGGCAAGCAGGCGAAAAUCAACAACA
rnacentral:sRNA from 1 species